rnacentral:rRNA from 2 species
UCGAACGAUGAAGCCCACUUGUGGGUGGAUUAGUGGCGAACGGGUGAGUAACACGUGAGUAACCUGCCCUUGACUCUGGGAUAAGCCUGGGAAACUGGGUCUAAUACCGGAUAUGACUGAUCAUCGCAUGGUGGUUGGUGGAAAGCUUUUUGGGGUUUUGGAUGGACUCCCGGCCUAUCACCUUGUUGGUGAGGUAAGGGCUUACCAAGGCAACAACGGGUACCCGGCCUGAAAGGGUGACCGGCCACCCUGGGACUGAAACACGGCCCAAACUCCUACGGGAGGCACCAUUGGGGAAUAUUGCACAAGGGGCGCAAGCCUGAUGCACCGACCCCCCGUGAGGAAUGACGGCCUUCGGGUUGUAAACCUCUUUCAUUAGGGAAAAACCCUUUCGGGGUGACGGUACCUGCAAAAAAACCGCCGGCUAACUACUUGCCACCACCCGCGGUAAUACUUAGGGCGCAGGCGUUAUCCGGAAUUAUGGGGCGUAAAAAGUUCGUAGGCGGUUGGUCGCGUCUGCGGUGAAAUUCGGGGGUUCACUCCGGUCUGCGUGGGUACGGCCGACUAGGGUGAUGUAGGGAGCUGGAAUUGCUGGUGUAGCGUGAAAUGCCCAAUACAGGAGGACACCGAUGGCGAGGCAGGUCUCUGGCAUUACUGACGCUGAGGACGAUGCAUGCGAGCGACUGGAUAGAUACCUGUAGUCAUGCG